UGUCUAAAAACAAACCCACAGAAUCAUUUUCUGAAAAAAAUACAAUGUUCUUUGUUUUGUUGCUUUAG
rnacentral:miRNA from 1 species